rnacentral:rRNA from 1 species
CCAGCAGCCGCGGUAAUUCCAGCUCCAAUAGCGUAUAUUAAUGUUGUUGCAGUUAAAAAGCUCGUAGUUGGAUUUCUGGCCAAACAUCUCACCCUUCCUAACAGUUGCGGUAGAGAUAGUUAGGCCAUCCUUCUGAAGAGCAUGCGGUGCUUAACGGUUCCGUAUGUUAUUCAGAAUUUUUACUUUGAGGAAAAUAGAGUGUUUAAAGCAGGCGUUCGCUUUGAAUACAUUAGCAUGGAAUAAUAAGAUAGGACUUUGGUCUUAUUUUGUUGGUUUCUAAGACCGAAGUAAUGAUUAAUAGGGAUAGUUGGGGGCAUUCGUAUUUAAUUGUCAGAGGUGAAAUUCUUGGAUUUGUUAAAGACGAACUUCUGCGAAAGCAUUUGCCAAG